rnacentral:rRNA from 1 species
GACAGAGGAUGCAAGCGUUAUCCGGAAUGAUUGGGCGUAAAGCGUCUGUAGGUGGCUUUUUAAGUCUGCCGUCAAAUCCCAGGGCUUAACCCUGGACAGGCGGUGGAAACUACCAGUCUUGAGUGGUGGAGAGGGAAGUGGAAUUCCUGGUGUAGAGGUGAAAUUCGUAGAUAUCAGGAGGAACACCAGUGGCGAAGGCGGCUUCCUGGACACCAACUGACGCUGAGACGCGAAAGCGUGGGGAGCAAACAGG